GUCUUCUCUUAAACUUGAUUAUGCAUGUAGUUAUUAUGUGCUCUGUAUGGUUGCUUCUAAUUCUGGUAUAUCUAGAAUUACUUGGAGAUAUAAAGAAUGUUAUGGCUCUGAAAGUGACACUAUAUGAAAUGCAGCUGAACUUUUUAAUUGUUUCAGUAUUACUUAUGCAAUGUUGAAUAAAUGGCUGGAGAAAUGAAUAUCUUUAAAGUUCUCUACUGUGUUAUAGGCAUUUAUGAUUCAUGCAGUAGAAUUUUAACAAGUGAUAAUAGUGUUGGAUAGUGUCCAUAACUUAGAUAUUGUGUCACUUGUGUUCUCUGGCUUCUUGUAAGCAAGAUGAUUAAUAAACAUUUUACCUUAUGGAGGUUAUAACACUUGGCUUUUGCUGUAACCACUUGUGCCCUUAUUACACAAACUGCUUCAAGAUAUUCCUAGGUACACUGACAGAAUCAAUGCAAGUAUAAUGCAAGUAUAAUAAGUAAAACUGUGAGCAAUAACUCCCGACUUUUGCUUUGUAAUUUGACAUGGCAUAUUGCAGUUGAAUACCAUCUAAUUGCACAAAGCCAUUGAUCAAUUUGCAGUUGGAAAAUAUACACACAAAGUAUCAAGCUGUGGUUUUCUUUUUCCUUUUGAUGCAUUCUUUUAAGACUUGGAUAAAACCAUAGGGAAAGAUUCAGAAGUUGAAUUCAGUUGUUUCUCCAAACAUAUGCGAAUGUUUAGGAGAAAAUCUCAAGAAGCAAGUAUCAACUAUAGUGUUUUGUGGAACUGCAUGUCAACUGGCAUGGGUUCCAUGAUAAGUGAAAAGCUCAAUUGGUAUGGCUGUAUGGGGAUAUAGCUAUCUGUCAUUGGAAUUAUCUAGUGAGGAACAGAAGCAUUUGGGAUAAGCUUGGACUAAUCUAUUAAUGAUGUCUGUCAUUUGCAGAAGUUGGACUGGACUGAUUUGAA
rnacentral:misc_RNA from 1 species